CAUCACCAGUGGCUAACGGGGUUCUUCCAACUACUCACCCCUUCUAGUGUCGAGGUUGAGAAUUUAGCCAUCAUUGGCUUGUAUAGGAAUUGAUUUACUUUUACCUACCAAUUUAUCAUCAUGCCUUUCUUCAUGACAAAUUAAUGAAAAAUUUCUUUCAUCCAAACAGUUUCAUCACUUUAUUCUCCUCCCAUUGUCCCAUACUUUAUCAAACAUAUUUAUUAUGCCAAAAAAUUAACAGUGAGGUGCUUAGCACACUUUGAUUGUUACCAUAGCUGGGAUGAAACUGAAUGUUUUGCCUACGUCACUGUCUUACAGGUACAAGGAAAAUAAAUGCAUGUACUAUGUAAUCCAAUCACUUACUGACCCAGGAGGUGUGAAAGCCAGCUACAAAGUACUGCCACCUGGAAAUGAUGUUUAUGGAAUGGGCAGUAUGUGCUUCAUCUGCCGUCUCCUCCUACUCCUCUGAUCCCUUUGCCUUUUAAUGUUAAUAGAUGUGGAAUGCAGAGAUUUACCGCUACUACUGUACCAGGUCCAAAUCUUGGCCAAGGACUGACUAUCCUGAUUGAAGUUUCUUAUGGUUUUCCUCAGACUCUGUGAACAAAUGCCAGGAUAGUACCUUAAAUUAGGCCACACCCACUUCCUUCCACAUUCUUUCCAAUUUAUUAUUCACUUUUCAUCCUAUUACUCAGUGCUGUAUAAUCUGAUUGUUGGAAAUAUAAUUUAAUGAACACUAAAUAAAUAAUUUAAUCUCUAAUUUUUAUAAAUGAAUGAUGUAUGUUUUGUUUCUUUGUUUGUUUGCUUUCAUUACUCUGUUCCUAAAAUUUGUUGAGUGGUGGUGUUUGUGCAGAUAUUUACAUGCAGUCGGGAACAUAAAGCUGGUGGUGAUCCUGUUGGACAGGCAGAACCCGCUGUUCCGACAGCCAUCGCAGAGACAGUUCAAUGUGGAAUGAUAUUAUUCAGUAUCUGGUGUUGCAGCACACAGGCUGACUCUGUUUUACUAUUUUCCUCAAUUGGAGGAAUGUGUACCCAACAUCUGUGGAGUAGUUCAGCCCUAUGCAGCUGCUCUCAGACAACUCUCCUUGAGCUGGAACACUCUCCUGCCGCCAUUGGUAGAGUUGCUGGAAGCAGUUCUGGAAUUGCUGUGGCUGGAUGUCACACAGAGCGUCUUUUGUUGCAAUAAUAACUUCUUGCCUGCUGUUAAAACGAUAACCUCUGAAAUGUUUUUCUCUCUUGAGGAAAGAGACAUCGGAUGGUGAGAGAUCAUGUGAUUAAGGUUGAUGUGAUAACACAACAGUAUUGUGUUCAGCGAGCGAUUUUUGCACAAGAAUUGAGAGUUGUGUUAUCGUGCAACAGAUUUAUGUCCCUAGUCACUGGUCCAAUCCUGCAGCUGGUGAAACUUUUGUUUGAUCUUUGCUUGUUCAGAGUUGCAUCUGGAAUGAAUUUGUAGUAGUGCAAGAUGUAUGUACCAUAUUUUAUCCCCUCAGUACAAGGAAUUUAUUUGUUAAUUUGUUUCUUUCAGCUAAGAGUUAUACACCGAGACCUAAAACCAGAUAAUAUAUUGGUAGAUCUUCAGGGCCACAUUGCUGUUACAGAUUAUGGUUUAUGCAAACAGUUUGUCUGCUCUGAAGAUGUAGAUAUUAUAUCCACCUUAUCUUUUGUUCAGUGUGCGUACAAGGGCACAUAGGCUGUAAAUGUAAGCACUUUGUGGAACUCUGUCCAUCAGGCAGUGCCCUUUAUUUGGAGGGUGUCAAAGUAUGAGACCUGUAAAGAGUUGAUAGGUUUCAGGUGCCUCAAAUUAGACCACACAUUUUCGAAGUGUGUGUGUGUGUGUGUAACUAAAACAUGUCACAAGGCAUAUGAAUUUGAGUAGGUAAACGUGAAGUGUAAUACUGGAUACUGAAAGGGAUAAUCCACGGGCCUAGUUUAAAUAUUUUCUUCUUCAGUUGGCACUACAGUCCUUGGUGGACCUGGGCUCCUUAGUUUAAAUAUUAUAUGAAGAUAAAAUUUGUGGUACAUACAGCCUACUGUGUAUGGUCACAGUUAAGGAUCUUAUGAUGAGUGGGAUGUGUAGGGAGAGAAAAAAUGCUGCAGAAUAUUGGUGGGAAAAUCUCUUGGAAAAUGGUAGCAUCAGAAAUCAUUCAGGAAAAGGAAGCAUAGGAUUAAGAGGGAUGUUAGAGAAAUGGAUUCUGAGGGCAGGAGAUGAAUGGAAGUCGCCCACUGGUGGUCUUCACUUUUUGACUUGAUCAGUUUUCUUUUCUCUUACCAGACACUUUCCAGUUGUUUUGUGACCCAAAUUCCUGUCACAGUUAUUCAAAGUAUCGUUUCUGUCUUCAGAGUGACCGUGCAAAUUCACGGUGUGGCACAAGUCAGUAUAUGGUGCCAGAGAUAUUCAUAGGCAAAGGCUACAGCUAUGUAAGUUUCUUAUCUGUUAACAGUAUGAUAAUAACGAACUUUUGGUUUUAUGUAACUCAGCCAAACAUGUGAUCAAUGCUAACUAACAAGAAAAGACAUUGUAAUAAUGUGAGAGUUUGGAGCCACAAGAAAUAACUUCAUGGAGUUUGUAAGGACACAUGCAUAAACUAGCCAGUAUACAUGACAGGAGGUCAAACAUUCGAGUGAAUGUGGCACAGUCAGUUGCCUUGCAUCUGGCUUGAUGACAUGCAUUUUUGUCAUAUAACAGAAUUUGAAAGCCAAGUACUAGCCAGGCACUAAAAUUCGAAAUAAGUGUUGUUCAGACUUUGUUUCUUAUGUGACUCAGCAUGCAAGUAGCUUUAAGUGUCUAUUUGUGGCACAUUACACCCAAAAACAGAAAGAAAAAUGCUUCAAGGCCAUGGAAAUACUUCAUAUCCCUUACCACACAGCUCCAUGCUCACCAAUUAAAAGGCACGGUAAUUAGAACUGAAUGGAUUUGAGUAGUUUUUGUGAUCAAGUUCUCAUGAUCUACAUUUCACAUGUUCAAUGAAGGCGCUGUGAGUGGCCUGGCAGAUAACAUAAUUACAUUCAGUUUCAGUCCACACUAUAAGGAAGUCGAGGGUGACUGUAGCCAAUUCUCCUACUAAGUUGUGGCAAAGUUAAAGCCAUUGUUAGCACAUGGACACCAUCCUGAUGAACCCUGAAAAGAAUUCUGUAAGGGGAAGAAGGUCAUGCACACAACAUGGCCAAGUCGUAGUCCCACCCUUGCCAAUAAAAUUCUCUUGAAACUUGCAAUUUCAGACGUCAAUCAGUCCCUUGUGAAAAUGUGGAGGCAUUCUGUCUUGUUCCAACAUCAUGUCAAUAGGACACUGUUCUUCCAAACUUGGCGUGAGGAAUUCCUCUGCUUAAGAUGCCAUUUUAACAACUGUGAGUGUAGUGCAUCUUGUGCAAAGAUAUGGAAACUAAAGCAGCACGAGUUAUAAACUUGAUCAUAUAAAUUUCUCAAAUGAAUUUAGUUCAUAUUCCCCUGCGUCAUGGUUCACAGGCAUUGAAAUGGCAUACAUUUUAUGUUCACAAACUGUGUAUAAGCGGUUCUUGAACUGAAAUAAACAUAAAUAUUUGCGAAAGCUUGUUGCAGUAAACAGUAUUGAUGGAGCCACAGCAGUUCGGAAGCUAUGAAACAAACAUAGAACAUUUGUAGGUGCUUUCACCACAGAAAAAUAGAGAAAAGCAUGUGUUUGCUUUGCCGUGUUUGUGUGUCCACCUGUCUAGUAUUUUGAUAAUUGCUGAAUGGGCUUUAAUGGCAUUUGAUAAUUUUCCUGACUUGACUGCUAAUGUCAAUUAUUUAAAAUAAAUGAUAGUAUAACUGUAUAAUGUCAAUUGUAGAUGGUGUUUAGUAAAGUGUUUUUUCAAGGUUCUGACUGAGCACUCCAAGAAAACCAUAAGAAAACUCACCACAAUGGUUGGAAAAGAAUUAAAACAAUCGGUCAGUCGGGAUGCAGGCUCCGAGUGACGGCAAACGAACUCAUACAAGAGGAUCAAGAACAAAACAUUUCCACAAUCUUAAGGUUUCAUCUGCACCAGCAGACAACACUGUGCUUCCGUCUGGACACAGAGCCAGUUGCAAGACCCGCUUUUUGUGGCCAGUUAAUUCAGCAACCUGGAAUUAAUUUAAGACUUGAUUUAUUUAACUUAAUUAAUGCUCUAAUUUUAUUGGUAAAAUUAUGCAAGGACCAGUUCUCCUGCUUUGGGGUUUGAAAUGGGGCCAAUAAACUCUUGCAGUAAAAAUACACACUGACUCUGGCUGCAGAAGUGGUAUGGUAUUCGUAUUGCGUUAGUAUGGUGUUUGGACGACAAGAUCCAGUCUGACAUUUAGAUGAAAAAUAAUUUUUGGAAAUACUUUAUAAAUUUGUACAGGGACCUCAGAAGUUAUUAACGUCUGUGGUCUCUGUACAAAUUUAAAAUAUUCACCCAGUGCAAUGAUGAAAAUAAAAGAGUUUCAAUCCAAAUUAAUAGGCAUUUAAGGAUCAUGAUUCUUAUGUUAAAUAGUAAAAUCCUGAACUACUAUAUUAAUGGCAGCAGAGAUGCGAUUUUUAAGAAGCAUAGACUGAAAAACUAAAAGAGAUUGGAUAAAAAAUAAAUAAAAGAGAAUCUAAGUUAAAUGUCAUGGAAGAGAAACUAACAAAGAACAGAAUUAGAUGGUAUGGGCAAUGGUUUAUUAAGAAUGAAUAAUAGACAAAUCCCAAAGAAGGCUUUGAACAUGAAAGUGAAAGGAAAAUGUUCACAAUGGAAGCUGUGAUAAAGAUGGGAAUGACAGGUUAAGAAACACAACAGAAAGGGAAGGAAGUUUCAAGAGGAAGAAACACAGGAGUUGUAGGAAGGCAGACACUGAUGGUUGGACAUGGCCAUCAGACUUUAGAGCAGAAAUAUCUUGCGAGGAAAAAAUGCCUUUCAGCCCUAAAACAAAAUGGAGACCAAACUGAGAGGCCAGGAAAACCACCCCAUUUUCUUCUUUCAUUCCCUCAAGCAUGGCAGAGUAAAGGUGAUGGGAACAAUAUCAAAAUAAACAGUUACAAAGUUUGCCACAGUAUUGGAUAAACAUUUUCUGAGAUAUCAGGUUCUCAUGGAAUGGAUUGUUGGUGCCAUGUACUGCGGCAUAAGUACGUAUACUGACUCAUGAUUUAUGAUGAAGCACAUAGAGAGUGGGGGAAGAAGACUUUUGGUUAUAAAAUGUUUGCUAGUGGGUGCCUAACUGGGCAUCAGAAACAUCAUGUUUGUGUUCAGACAGGAAGAUAAUGAUGGUAUUAAAAGUGGCUGGUUUUACAAGCCUGUUCUACAAGAAUUAAAUGUCAGCCACAGGAUGCUCAAAAUUAAGUGUAAAAUAAAUCUAUCUUCUAACUAACCAA